AGCAGCCGCGGUAAUUCCAGCUCCAAUAGCGUAUAUUAAAGUUGUUGCAGUUAAAAAGCUCGUAGUUGAAUUUCGGGAUUAGUACGUUGGUCGUGCCUUAGGUACGUACUGGUGUUACUGGUUCCUACCUUCUGACGAACCAUCAUGUCAUUAAUUUGGUGUGGCGGGGAAUUAGGACUGUUACUUUGAAAAAAUUAGAGUGUUUAAAGCAGGCUCGCGCUUGAAUACAUUAGCAUGGAAUAAUGAAAUAGGACGUUGACCCUAUUUUGUUGGUUUCUAGGAUUGACGUAAUGAUUAAUAGGGAUAGUUGGGGGCAUUAGUAUUCAAUUGUCAGAGGUGAAAUUCUUGGAUUUAUUGAAGACUAACUACUGCGAAAGCAUUUGCCAAGGAUGUUUUCAUUAAUCAAGAACGAAAGUUAGGGGAUCGAAGACGAUCAGAUACCGUCGUAGUCUUAACCAUAAACUAUGCCGACUAGGGAUCGGAUGAUGUUAAUUUUUUAAUGACUCA
rnacentral:rRNA from 1 species